GAUGAAGAACGUAGCAAAAUGCGAUAAGUAAUGUGAAUUGCAGAAUUCAGUGAAUCAUCGAAUCUUUGAACGCGCAUUGCGCCCGCUGGUAUUCCGGCGGGCAUGCCUGUUCGAGCGUCAUUUCAACCCUCAAGCCCCCGGGUUUGGUGUUGGGGAUCGGCUCUGCCCUUCUGGGCGGUGCCGCCCCCGAAAUACAUUGGCGGUCUCGCUGCAGCCUCCAUUGCGUAGUAGCUAACACCUCGCAACUGGAACGCGGCGCGGCCAUGCCGUAAAACCCCAACUUCUGAAUGUUGACCUCGGAUCAGGUAGGAAUACCCGCUGAACUUAAGCAUAUCAAUAAGCGGAGGA
rnacentral:misc_RNA from 1 species